rnacentral:lncRNA from 1 species
CAUUUUACUUUUUUAAUAUGGGUACUAGAAGUUUUAAAAUUACAUAUGUGGCUUACAUUUGUCAUUCACGUUGUGUUUGUAUUGCUCAGCACUGAUCUAGACCAUUUGCAUGCUAAUUCUCCUGUGUGACAUAUCUAUUUCUUAUUUCCUCAAAUCCAAAAACUAUCCUACUCAAUCAUGACCUUCUCCUUAAACUCUUUUUAGAUCUCUUCCUUUAAAGAGUGUGCUCUCUUCUCUAAAUUCUAAUGGCAUCUUUCAUCUGACCUCACAAUCUCUUCUAAUGCCUCUACUUGGAUGUAAGUUACUAGCAAGUAAGGUCUAUGUAUAGUUUUACGUAUGUUUGUCACCUGCAAAACAACCACCAUGGAGCUUUUGGAAAAUAUCAGUAAAAUGUUAUUAGACAAGUACCACUGCUUGCUGCCAUUCCUGGUUGCUUGAUGGCAGUAGGGUGUCUUGGCUAAGUGCUCCGCUUCUCUAAUUGCUGUGGGCCAGAGAAGUCAGUCUUUCAACAAAGGCCUAUAAAGUGGAAUUAGCCAUACACUUUCUUGUUAUUUUAUUAAACCAUUAUAAUUAUCCCAGGAAAACUGGAAAACCUAUGAAUACACAGAAAACUAGCAAAUUUGUAAGUUGGUUUUAACAUCAAUGGGUUCUCUGGCUACCUCCUCUCUAUUUCUACAAUAAAGUGUCUUUCUCAUUUACUAUUUUAACUGUUUACUAUCUGUCUUAUCAUUGGAAUACAUGCUUCAGAAAUUGGCAUACUGUCAUUGUGUUCACUCUUCGCACCCCAGUGACUCCUCAGUGAAUGGUACUCUGUAGACACUCAAUAAAUAUUUGUCGAAUCAAUGAAUAGAGGUGGAAAACUGAAUAACAGAGCUAGAAAUAGUGACUAGUAUAGUCUUGAUCCAUAGAUUAUAUACUAUACCUUUUAAAUUUUAUUUUUUAAUUGGCAAGUAAUAAUUGUACAUAUCCAUGGGAUGCAUAGUGGUGUUUUGAGACAUACAACGUGUAGUAAUCAGAUACAUUAUACUUUUAAAGAACUCUCAGAAAUAGGAAUUUUCAGUAGUCAGUACUAACUUGUUCAGGAUAUCCUCAAGUGUAACAAAACUUUUUUUUCUUGGCUCUAAUUUAUGUCUUCCCUUUAUUCAACCUUCUCUGUAGUAUAGGAGUUGGUAACCUGCACGAUCCCUGCUUUUGAGUUUAAUCUAAGAAUAUCUACAAAGUCAAUGACGCACUGAAUCCCAGCAGUUAUAUACUCUGAAGAUGACAACUUUCUCCAAAGUUUGAAGACAGAUGAUGAAAUAUUGAAAUGUUUCAGAAAUAGACUUCUCAGAGUUGCUUUUUAGUUUUCAUGGGAGAAGAGAGAAAUAUAUAGUGAUAAAUUAAUUAAUUAAAUCAUAGCUAGUAAACUCAUACUUAAAGUGAGACAUCCCAUAGCUCAGUCAAUAUGAAUAUUAGAAUUUUUAGAAGAAAAUAUUACAGUAUCAUUCUUUUAAAAAAACAGAACAUAUUGUAUUUAAGACAUACAAGAUAAGCUCUUGUUCAUUUAAGACCAAAGCUUAUAGCUAAAGUGAACUUCUGCUCUAAAAUUUAAUCUUUUCUCCUCAAACUAAAUGUAUCAGACAUCACUUAGUAAAUUGUAAUAACUACAGCCAAAUAUGUACAAAUAUGACUAACCCGAGAGUUGGCGCCAAACUAGUUUUGACCUUUCAUUGUAAAAUGAUCCUUUAUGGUCUUCCAAAAGACGUGGACGUGUUUUAGUGGCCACAAACAACAAUUCAAAUGUCAUGUUGUAAAAUAAAGUGAAAACAAAGCUUCUUACAUAGGAAACGAAUUUUAAUUAAGGUCAAGAAUCUUAUCUGCAUUAGAGUUUAUAUUUGUUCUAGCCUAUACUGAACCUGUUUGAUGGUUCAUUCUUAGCUUUGAAUGACUUAAAGGCUCUCACAACAUUAAGGGCAUGAAAGUUAACCUACUUUAAUUAAAUCUGAUAGUUGAUUGAAAGUAAAUAAUACUUUGAAAUAAUUUCUAACUAUGGAGAUUGAAGAAGCCGCUCCAGAAUCAUUUCAAUUGCUACCAAAUUAACCCCUCCCAGAGAGGAAUGGAUAAUGACAUCAACCCUUUGAACCUAUUGAAAACUAAUCUAAUUAGAGACAUUUUGCUGAAAGGCAAGAGUAGAUAAAAGAAGAAGGAGAGAGAGCAAAAAUUGCAGCAACUUUUUUGGGGGGUCUGGCUCUUGUAAAAUGUAUUAGUCACAAAAAGUAUAGAAACACCUUUAGGAAACUUUCUUUUCUUGUACCCACUAACGACUCAAGGAACUCAAUUAAAUCAAGAUAUUUCUAGUCUUCCAAAGAUAGAUAAGAGGAAGAGAAGAAAGGAGAUAUGAAUAAAGGAAAAAGGGAAAGGAAAGGAAAAGCUUUUAGUUAUUGAGCAAUUCCUUUGUAUCAGAAUUCCAUUAAGGGCUUUUCAUAGAUUAGCUAAUACAAAUCUUACAUAAGAAAAUUAUUAGUAUCCCCAUUUCAUAGAUGAAGAAACAAAGGCACAGAAAGGUAAAAUGAAUACGUUUGGUCAGAAGCAGAAGUUGACCACAUGAUGGAAAAUACAAUUAUUAGCUCUUCUCCCUCAUAGGAAGAAGCUACGUCGCUUUCUGCAAGUCUCUUAACUCUUAAGGAACCUACACUCCCAUCUCCUACAUGAGCGGCAAUUGCUAGAAGAUGUCUCAGGUCACUUCAAGCCCUAAGUUGCUACAUUAACCCUGCACUGCUGUGGUCUCUAGACAACAAGAUAUUUGAAAAAGGACGGAAAUUGAAAUACUAUCUUUCCAUGGGAGCUGACAUUUAUUACUACGUUGACAUUUAUUACUAUUACUCAUUUAAUUUUACAGAAGUCCUAUAACUAGACAGUUAUUAAGAAAAGCAGAGGUCAAAUGACUUGUCCAAGACCACGCAGCCCAUAAAGAGCCUGCCUGUGUCCAAUAUACGUGCUUUCUCUAUAAUAUUUUCUUCCAAAGAAUACCUAAGCCUACAUGUAAUGCAGAAUAAAAUAUACCAUCUCACUCUAUGAUGGUUUUAUGAAUAGUUAAUUGUAGUUAUAGUUGCAAUCAUAAUAACAAUAUCUAACAAUCACUAUGAGCCAGGUACCAUUCUAAAAGCUUGAGUGAAUUAACUCACUCAAUUGUCACAACAAAGCUAUUAGGUAGAUACUAUACUAUCCCCAUUUUAUAUAUGGAAACUGAGGUACAGAAAUGUUAAAUAACUAAUCGAAGGUCACCAGAUAGUGCAUGUCAGUCCUGGCUGGAAUUUGGACACAGGCACUUUAUCCCAACAACUAUGCACAUAUCUACAAAUGCCCUUGCUUCUCAUUUCAGGAUGUGUAAUCAUUUACAGUGCUUGUUCUCCUAUCCUCAACUUCCCUAAAGAAUAUAGCUGGGAAAGCCUGUACAGAGACAUAUCUUGUUAUUGCACACAAAAUGUCAAAGAAUCUUACCAUAAGAAGUGAUAUAGAAGGUCAUUUGGUUCAACUCCCUCAUCUGACACAUGAAUCUCUGUUCUGUUUAGUAGCCAAAUGAACACUUGCUUGCCUCCCAAGGCAGAACAUUCAGGUCUAAGUGUUAGAAUUAGUACAAAAUUCUCCCCUACAUUGAGCCAAAAUAUGCUUCCUGCUAACUUAUCUCAUUGGUCCUAUUUCCCCCCUCUUGAAAUCAUGGCUCAUGCCAAGAGCUCUCUUCUGCAUAAUUAUAUUGCUUCCUUCACCAACUCCCUGAUACUCAAGUGAAGAAUUCCACUACCCUCAUUGCUCUCCUCUGAUAAU